AAGAAAAUUAUAAACUGUGUUUUAGUUCUUUAUACUAAUAACCUCGGAUUCUAUGUAACUGUAAAAUACUGUUGUAACACGUCGUAUUAUAUUAUUUUAUGUCCAAACAGAAAUUAAACUGGCAUACCGUGGAAUCAGAACCUUUGAGGGAAUCAAGAGAGGUCGAGAGCGUUUUUCUAUCUUCGUUUGUUGAAAAGAGAACCAAAAAAAAAAAUAGAUUUAAUGAAAUGAUGCGUUCAAAAUCCGGUUAAAUUAUUAAGUCUGAUAGACGGAUCCGCAGGACCUGUUACAGGAUCGAAACCUCCGGAAAAAUCCACCGAUCUGGCAGCCCUCUUUUCUAUUAAGUUUAGGACCGUAAAUUUACCUUUCAUACAUAUAUACACACAUGCACAUGGCUUAAUCGCUGCUUAGCAUAGACAAUAUGGUAAUAACUCUUUGAUUCAAGAGAGUGCUGUCCUAUUUAGUCAAAUAUGUACCAAGCUACAUAAUGGAACUUCUAGCGUGUGAUGAGUUGCGUUGUCCUCAUAGCAUAUAGCUCCCAUACAAACUGCUAGAUCAUAAUCAAGGUCUUGUAAGAACAAUUUGAAGAUGCCUUCACGAAAUUUGGUACUGAUUAUUAUUCAAGGCAACACCAUAAUUCUCAAAUUGUUCGGACCACUUUACAGUAAAACUGACCGAUGAAAAUGUAGCCAACUAAGAAGAACUAACAAAACGUUGUUUGUUGGAUGAAAACCAUUGACCGGUUACCUGAUAACAUUUAAAUAUACAUAUUGCUAAAAGAAAUGCGCAUUCUUGCCGUUUUGUUACCAAGUUAACGUUUUGUGAUGCUCAGUUAACAGAAUUCCUCAAGUUGAAAUAAAUGUGAAAAGCAUUAAAGAUAGCUCAUUUUUGUUUGAUUUCAUUGCACAUACUCGUUCAUAACUUUUGACCAAUUAUGCGAUGGAGUCACAUAUAGUCAAUUUUAUCGCAAGUCAUAUCUCAAAUACUGUAUUUGUAAAAAUGCAUUGAUUUUACUGCUAAAUUCUUUGAUAUGUGGCAAAUAAGUAAUUGAGAAACACUGUAAACAAUGAUGAUAAGCUAUUUAUAUCAUUACCUACAUUUCUGUGAACUGACUUAUUCUACUCUUUUACUAAAUCGCGUAAAUUGUAAGCAAUUUUUAACAUUCACAUAGGCACAUAUUUUGCUACUCUUGAAGAUGGAGCGGUGUUUAAGGAAAAUAGUUAUAGGAAUUAAAGAGGAAAUUAUUAUUUUCUUUUUGCAUUACAUUUUCGAUCAAGUUUUGUAUAUUAUUCUAAUUGUUAUUUGCUAUAUAUUAAGAGAAUAAAUUAUAAGAAAGAACAUUUUUUACAAAAAUCGA